AAUAUUGCACAAUGGAGGGAACUCUGAUGCAGCAACGCCGCGUGAGUGAAGAAGGUUUUCGGAUCGUAAAACUCUGUCAUUGGGGAAGAAUAAAUGACGGUACCCAAUGAGGAAGCCCCGGCUAACUACGUGCCAGCAGCCGCGGUAAUACGUAGGGGGCGAGCGUUGUCCGGAAUUACUGGGCGUAAAGGGUGCGUAGGCGGCCUGAUAAGUCAGAUGUGAAAUACCACGGCUUAACCGUGGGGGUGCAUUUGAAACUGUUGGGCUUGAGUGCAGGAGAAGAAAGCGGAAUUCCUAGUGUAGCGGUGAAAUGCGUAGAGAUUAGGAGGAACACCAGUGGCGAAGGCGGCUUUCUGGACUGUAACUGACGCUGAGGCACGAAAGCGUGGGUAGCGAACA
rnacentral:rRNA from 1 species